CUCAGAUUGAACGCUGGCGGCAGGCUUAACACAUGCAAGUCGAGCGGGGAAGGUUGCUUCGGUAACUAACCUAGCGGCGGACGGGUGAGUAAUGCUUAGGAAUCUGCCUAUUAGUGGGGGACAUCAUUCCGAAAGGAAUGCUAAUACCGCAUACGCCCUACGGGGGAAAGCAGGGGAUCUUCGGACCUUGCGCUAAUAGAUGAGCCUAAGUCGGAUUAGCUAGUUGGUGGGGUAAAGGCCUACCAAGGCGACGAUCUGUAGCGGGUCUGAGAGGAUGAUCCGCCACACUGGGACUGAGACACGGCCCAGACUCCUACGGGAGGCAGCAGUGGGGAAUAUUGGACAAUGGGCGGAAGCCUGAUCCAGCCAUGCCGCGUGUGUGAAGAAGGCCUUUUGGUUGUAAAGCACUUUAAGCGAGGAGGAGGCUCCUUUAGUUAAUACCUAAAGUGAGUGGACGUUACUCGCAGAAUAAGCACCGGCUAACUCUGUGCCAGCAGCCGCGGUAAUACAGAGGGUGCGAGCGUUAAUCGGAUUUACUGGGCGUAAAGCGUGCGUAGGCGGCUUUUUAAGUCGGAUGUGAAAUCCCUGAGCUUAACUUACGAAUUGCAUUCGAUACUGGAAAGCUAGAGUAUGGGAGAGGAUGGUAGAAUUCCAGGUGUAGCGGUGAAAUGCGUAGAGAUCUGGAGGAAUACCGAUGGCGAAGGCAGCCAUCUGGCCUAAUACUGACGCUGAGGUACGAAUGCAUGGGGAGCAAACAGGAUUAGAUACCCUGGUAGUCCAUGCCGUAAACGAU
rnacentral:rRNA from 1 species